CGUGCCAGCAGCCGCGGUAAUACGUAGGGUGCGAGCGUUAAUCGGAAUUACUGGGCGUAAAGCGUGCGCAGGCGGUUUCGUAAGACAGACGUGAAAUCCCCGGGCUCAACCUGGGAACUGCGUUUGUGACUGCGAGGCUAGAGUACGGCAGAGGGGGGUAGAAUUCCACGUGUAGCAGUGAAAUGCGUAGAGAUGUGGAGGAAUACCGAUGGCGAAGGCAGCCCCCUGGGUUAGUACUGACGCUCAUGCACGAAAGCGUGGGGAGCAAACAGGAUUAGGUACCCUGGUAGUCCACGCCCUAAACGAUGUCAACUAGGUGUUGGAAGGGUUAAACCUUUUAGUACCGCAGCUAACGCGUGAAGUUGACCGCCUGGGGAGUACGGCCGCAAGGUUAAAACUCAAAGGAAUUGACGGGGACCCGCACAAGCGGUGGAUGAUGUGGAUUAAUUCGAUGCAACGCGAAAAACCUUACCUACCCUUGACAUGCCAGGAACUUUCCAGAGAUGGAUUGGUGCCCGAAAGGGAGCCUGGACACAGGUGCUGCAUGGCUGUCGUCAGCUCGUGUCGUGAGAUGUUGGGUUAAGUCCCGCAACGAGCGCAACCCUUGUCAUUAAUUGCCAUCAUUCAGUUGGGCACUUUAAUGAGACUGCCGGUGACAAACCGGAGGAAGGUGGGGAUGACGUCAAGUCCUCAUGGCCCUUAUGGGUAGGGCUUCACACGUCAUACAAUGGUCGGUACAGAGGGUUGCCAAGCCGCGAGGUGGAGCCAAUCCCAGAAAGCCGAUCGUAGUCCGGAUCGCAGUCUGCAACUCGACUGCGUGAAGUCGGAAUCGCUAGUAAUCGCGGAUCAGCAUGUCGCGGUGAAUACGUUCCCGGGUCUUGUACACACCGCCCCUC
rnacentral:rRNA from 1 species